rnacentral:rRNA from 1 species
AUUGAACGCUGGCGGCAGGCCUAACACAUGCAAGUCGAGCGGCAGCGGAAAGUAGCUUGCUACUUUGCCGGCGAGCGGCGGACGGGUGAGUAAUGUCUGGGGAUCUGCCUGAUGGAGGGGAUAACUACUGGAAACGGUAGCUAAUACCGCAUAACGUCGCAAGACCAAAGUGGGGGACCUUCGGGCCUCACGCCAUCGGAUGAACCCAGAUGGGAUUAGCUAGUAGGUGGGGUAAUGGCUCACCUAGGCGACGAUCCCUAGCUGGUCUGAGAGGAUGACCAGCCACACGGGGACUGAGACACGGCCCAGACUCCUACGGGAGGCAGCAGUGGGGAAUAUUGCACAAUGGGCGCAAGCCUGAUGCAGCCAUGCCGCGUGUGUGAAGAAGGCCUUCGGGUUGUAAAGCACUUUCAGCGAGGAGGAAGGGUGGUGUGUUAAUAGCACACGACAUUGACGUUACUCGCAGAAGAAGCACCGGCUAACUCCGUGCCAGCCGCCGCGGUA